UACGGUGGCGGACGGGUGAGUAACGCGUAAAGAACUUGCCCUCUAGACUGGGACAACUGUUGGAAACGACAGCUAAUACCAGAUAUUAUGAGAACCUCGCAUGGGGGACUUAUGAAGGCUAUAUGCGCUAGAGGAGAGCUUUGCGUGCCAUUAGGUAGUUGGUAGGGUAAUGGCCUACCAAGCCGACGAUGGCUAGCCGGCCUGAGAGGGUGAACGGCCACAAGGGGACUGAGACACGGCCCUUACUCCUACGGGAGGCAGCAGUGGGGAAUAUUGGACAAUGGACCAAAAGUCUGAUCCAGCAAUUCUGUGUGCACGAUGAAGGUUUUCGGAUCGUAAAGUGCUUUCAGCAGGGAAGAAAAAAAUGACGGUACCUGCAGAAGAAGCGACGGCUAAAUACGUGCCAGCAGCCGCGGUAAUACGUAUGUCGCAAGCGUUAUCCGGAAUUAUUGGGCGUAAAGCGCGUCUAGGCGGCCUUUUAAGUCUGAUGUGAAAAUGCGGGGCUCAACUCCGUAUUGCGUUGGAAACUGGAAGGCUAGAGUAUCAGAGAGGUGGGCGGAACUACAAGUGUAGAGGUGAAAUUCGUAGAUAUUUGUAGGAAUGCCGAUUGGGAAGCCAGCUCACUGGAUGAAUACUGACGCUGAAGCGCGAAAGCGUGGGGAGCAAACAGGAUUAGAUACCCUG
rnacentral:rRNA from 1 species